UACGUAGGGUGCGAGCGUUGUCCGGAAUUAUUGGGCGUAAAGAGCUCGUAGGUGGUCUGUCGCGUCGGCUGUGAAAACUCGGGGCUCAACCCCGAGCCUGCAGUCGAUACGGGCAGACUGGAGUUCGGCAGGGGAGACUGGAAUUCCUGGUGUAGCGGUGAAAUGCGCAGAUAUCAGGAGGAACACCGGUGGCGAAGGCGGGUCUCUGGGCCGAUACUGACACUGAGGAGCGAAAGCGUGGGGAGCGAACAGG
rnacentral:rRNA from 1 species